AUGAACAUCGUGGGAGAGUGCGCGUAUCCUGCGCCGCCGAAGGAGCAAGGGGAGGGGAGCGGUCCCUAACCGAAUCUCUCAGGUAUAAAGUACCGCGAUGGGACG
rnacentral:ncRNA from 2 species